UACGUAUGUCGCGAGCGUUAUCCGGAAUUAUUGGGCGUAAAGGGUGUCUAGGCGGCUUGGUAAGUUUAAUGUGAAAAUGCGGGGCUCAACCCCGUAUUGCCUUAGAUACUGCUAAGCUAGAGUACUGGAGAGGGAGGCGGAAUUCCAAGUGUAGAGGUAAAAUGCGUAGAUAUUUGUAGGAAUGCCGGUGGGGAAGGCGGCCUACUGGACAGAGACUGACGCUGAUGCGCGAAAGCGUGGGGAGCAAACAGG
rnacentral:rRNA from 1 species